rnacentral:rRNA from 1 species
GACGAACGCUGGCGGCGUGCCUAACACAUGCAAGUCGAACGAGGUCCAAGGGAGCUUGCUCCCUGAAGACCUAGUGGCGAACGGGUGAGUAACACGUGAGAAACCUGCCCUCGAGUGGGGAAUAACCCGGGGAAACCCGGGCUAAUACCGCAUACGCUCCUCUGGUCGCAUGGCCGGAGGAGGAAAGUUUUUCGCUCAAGGAGGGUCUCGCGGCCUAUCAGCUUGUUGGCGGGGUAACGGCCCGCCAAGGCUAAGACGGGUAGCUGGUUUGAGAGGACGAUCAGCCACACGGGGACGGAGACACGGCACAGACUCCUACGGGAGGCAGCAGUGGGGAAUCUUGCGCAAUGGGCGAAAGCCUGACGCAGCAACGCCGCGUGCGGGAUGACGGCCUUCGUGGUUGUAAACCGCUUUCAGCAGGGACGAAAAUGACGGUACCUGCAGAAGAAGCUCCGGCUAACUACGUGCCAGCCGCCGCAGUAA